UCAUGUGAUAAUUAUCAAUCAAUGAAAAAGGAUGAACAGAGUUUUAGAAUAACAGCAGGUUUGCAGGUGAGGCUACUGAAGGCUCAGAUGUAAAUCCUACAGC